UACGUAGGGGGCAAGCGUUGUCCGGAUUUAUUGGGCGUAAAGAGCUCGUAGGCGGCUUGUCGCGUCGGAUGUGAAAGCUCGGGGCUUAACCCCGGGUCUGCAUUCGAUACGGGCAGGCUAGAGUGUGGUAGGGGAGAUCGGAAUUCCUGGUGUAGCGGUGAAAUGCGCAGAUAUCAGGAGGAACACCGGUGGCGAAGGCGGAUCUCUGGGCCAUUACUGACGCUGAGGAGCGAAAGCGUGGGGAGCGAACAGG
rnacentral:rRNA from 1 species